CCCUUAGACGUUCUGGGCCGCACGCGCGCUACACUGACCAGUGCAACAAGCAUCCGUCCAUGGCCGACAGGCCCGGGCAAUCUUUGAACGCUGGUCGUGAUGGGGAUAGACUUUUGCAAUUUUUGGUCUUCAACGAGGAAUUCCUAGUAAACGCAAGUCAUCAACUUGCAUUGAUUACGUCCCUGCCCUUUGUACACACCGCCCGUCGCACCUACCGAUUGAAUGGUCCGGUGAAGCCUCCGGAUUGGCGCGCACCUCGGUGCCGCCGAGAAGUUGGCUAAACCUUACCAUUUAGAGGAAGGUGAAGUCGUAACA
rnacentral:rRNA from 1 species